rnacentral:rRNA from 1 species
UACGUAGGGGGGCUAGCGUUGUCCGGAAUCAUUGGGCGUAAAGAGCGUGUAGGCGGUUCGGUAAGUCCGCUGUGAAAGUCCAGGGCUCAACCCUGGAAUGCCGGUGGAUACUGUCGGGCUAGAGUCCGGAAGAGGCGAGUGGAAUUCCUGGUGUAGCGGUGAAAUGCGCAGAUAUCAGGAGGAACACCAAUGGCGAAGGCAGCUCGCUGGGACGGUACUGACGCUGAGGAGCGAAAGCGUGGGGGAGCAAACAGG